CAGGACCACCAGGGCAGAGAAUGGAGGGAGCCCAGCAGACGCACAGCCGUGAGGAGGAGGGGAAGUGACAGGCGCUAACCAUGUGUGCGCGAGAGUGCGCGGCUGGCCGGCUGGGCACCCCGGGGCUCCAGGUGCACGGCAGACCAGUGCGGGCGGCUCGCCGGCUGGACACCCCGGGGCUCCAGGUGCACGGCAGACCAGUGCGGGCGGCUCGCCGGCUGGACACCCCGGGGCUCCAGGUGGGUGCCAGGCCAGUGCGGGCGGC